UCUAGACUGACAUUUUCCUCUGAGAAUGUUUCAAGGUCUCUAUGAAAAAGAUUCAUACUGCCACAGGACAUCUUUUUGUCAUGCAUAUAAAUUAGAUUGAAGAUUUAGUGCCAUCUUCACUACUUUUUGAUUCUUCAAGAAGCACUCAUUUAAAAAGUUCCAUGUACUGGCAUUGAGUUGAAGAGGUCAGCAGGAUGUGCAAACCUAUUUUGAGACUUUUUGCACCAUCAUUGGAUUCCACUGGUUGUUAGCUGCAUGAAGAAAUAAUGAUUUCUAAUUUUUUAAAAAAUCAUACAUUUUUUGACUUGAUUAUGGCAAAUUGGUACAUUCACAAAUUUCUACAUUAGCUUAUAUAUUGUGAAAUGGUUUGUGAAAAUGAAAGUCCUUAUAUUUUAUUUUAUUUUUCAGACCUGGGAAUAUAGCAAAGAGCAGAACAACAUAUUCACCUGAGUCAAGGAAGUAAGAAAAACACCAUCACCACUACCAACAAAAAAAUCCCUCUUAUCUCUCCUCUGGGAGGCUUUUCUGGCAAUUCUUCUCUACCAAAAAGAAGACUUGCUGAAAUAUCUCUUUUUCAAGUCAGACAACUUGGCAAAACUGGGCAACAGCAGAAGAGUGACUGGUUUCAAGUUGUUUUUAUGAAGCACAUCUAGACAGUAAUCAGGAAAUGCUACCAAGCAACAAAACUAAAUUCUCUUUAAAGUUAUUUGUUAUUUUGAAGUCAAAUAAUAAUAAAACUUUAUAUUG